GACGAACGCUGGCGGCGUGCCUAACACAUGCAAGUCGAGCGGGGGGAGUUCUUCGGAACGAACCUAGCGGCGGACGGGUGAGUAACACGUGGGUAACCUGCCUCAAAGUGGGGGAUAGCCUUCCGAAAGGAAGAUUAAUACCGCAUAACCCAUAGCUUCCGCAUGGAAGCAAUGGUAAAGAUUUAUCGCUUUGAGAUGGACCCGCGGCGCAUUAGCUAGUUGGUGAGGUAACGGCUCACCAAGGCCACGAUGCGUAGCCGACCUGAGAGGGUGAUCGGCCACAUUGGAACUGAGACGCGGUCCAGACUCCUACGGGAGGCAGCAGUGGGGAAUCUUCCGCAAUGGACGAAAGUCUGACGGAGCAACGCCGCGUGUAUGAAGAAGGUUUUCGGAUUGUAAAGUACUGUCUUUGGGGAAGAAUGACUGGCCUGAAAAUAUUGGGUCAGUAUGACGGUACCCAAGGAGGAAGCCCCGGCUAACUAC
rnacentral:rRNA from 1 species